GGAGGGACUUCCCGUCCCGCCGAAGCCCACCGCUCACCGAGGGGCGCCGGCCCCAGGGAGACUGCGAAGGGUGACCGCUAGAGGGCGCGCGAGGCCCGCUCACUGGCCUGGCUCUGAACCUGGGCCCUGCGCCUGCCUGGACGCCGGGUGACAGGGAGCCAGUUUUACCUUCUGCACAACCAGGAGGACCAGAACAUGGAAUACCGUCACGACUCUCCAAGCCCUUUACUCGGCCUGAAUUGCUUGCGACUCCAUUUCCCCCAGAACCAUUGGCCUCAGCCUCUCAGGCCUAGCAACAGAGCUCUCCUUAAAUGAGUGCUUCUCGCCCAUGCAGCCUGCUAUUCCUGUCAGACCACACAGCCGCGUCCAUUCAUUCUCCAGUGCCACCUUCUCCCUGCGUCCUAGCUCUGAUUCGGCAGUCACCCUAUUAUUUAAGAAGUGAUGCUCACCAUGGAGCCACAGCGCAGCCCACUCUGGCUGUCUUCAG